UUUGUUUUGGUUCUUAACCCUCAAGGUUUCUGAAAGAUCUUGAAAGCAACAAAGGUUAUUUAUCUCCAGUCUUUGGGAAGAAAAGCAUGGCAAAAGGCAAAUAAUGCAGGCAGAGGAGAAGGUUGGGUUGUCAGGUUUGCUGUUGAGCAUGCUGCUCCUGAUGCCAAAGCUGCUGAGAAGAAUCACAAAACCUUAGAGGUUGGAAGUGACCUCCAGAGAUCAUCAAGUUCAACCUCCCUGACAAGGCAGGAUUACCCAGGGUAAUUCACACAGGGAUGCAUCCAGGCAGGUUUUGAAAGUCUCCAGAAAAGGAGCCUCCACAACCUCUAUGAGCAGCCUGUUCCAGGGCUCUGUUACCCUGAAUGUUGAGGUGAAACCUUAUGUGUUCCGGUUUGUAGCUAUUGCUCCUUGUCUUAUUGCUGCUGACCAAUGAAGAGAUUGGAUCCAGCCACUUGCUCCCCAGCCCUCAGAUAUUUGAUCACAUUGAUCAGAUCUCCUCGUAGUCUUUCUUCUCCACACUAAACAUCCUCAGGGUCCUCAGUCUCUCUCCAUAGGGGAGAUGCUCAAGUUCUCCAGUCAUCCUUGUCACUCUUUGCUGCCUCUUUCCAGCAGGUCCGUCCCUGUCUCUCUUGAAUUGAACUUUACCUGUUCUUAAGAUAAGAAAUACAUAAGUCUGAAGAUAAUCUUUAAAUCUGUGCUAAAAAUGUGUUUUUAUUGACAGGGAUUGCAAAGUACUGAAUGAGCAAACAAUAUUUAUAUUGCCAUUACCCACCUUAUGGCCAGCAAAGUUAAAAGUGAACCUUUAAAAUUUGUUAUUCUAACUGAAAUUAAAUUACUAUUAAAUUAAACUCACUACUUGGA